rnacentral:lncRNA from 1 species
GAGCUCAGGCGGCCUUGCGGUGAGGUAUGAAGAUCCGGUGAGACUGCACUCCAGUGAGGUCAGGAGAUGGCAAGGAGCGGAUCUGACGGGGUCGGGCACUUGGGUGUUAGGGGUAGGGUGGCGGCGCCAUGGUAGAGUCCAGUGCGCAGCUGGUUGGAAUGGCAGGGAAAAGGAAACCCUAGCACAUACUUUAUAUACUUUUACUUGGGGGUCCACAUGUAAGGGGUUGGAGCAAGUUAGACUUGGGUUUUUGUCGAGGCGGGUUAAAGAAAAAGAUAGAUUUAUUUUGGGCCUAAAAUAGCUUUCCAAGUCUGUUCUAAACUUCAAAUAAUCCCAAUGGGUAGCUAAUUUGUGGUGGGUUUGGGUUGGGCCAACAUGGCUUUUAUAUUGAGAAGUAAUUUAAUUUAAUGUAGGAACUGCAACUGUACAAGCACCCUAGAGGUGUAGGUUUGAAACAAAUAGGUAAAGAAUCGUAGGGAGUUAUUUUUGCGUUGGUUCACCCAUAUGUACCAAAUUGCCGCUCUAAACUUGAGCCAAUUUGGACUGGCCCACCUAUG